UGGUUGGUAGCUCAGUGGUUAAGAUGUUGGACUUCUGACUAGAAGGUCAUGAGUUCAAAUCCCAACACUGCUAG